UAACUACUAAGAUGGCGGCGUUUAACAACGCAUAUAGUGAACGCACAUGAAACAUGCAUUUUAGUAACGAAUAUAACACUUAUAAUGCAAUGAAAAAGUUGAUGUACAGAGGACACUUUGGCAAGCAAGGGGCUUAAGCUUUUUAUGCAAGAGUAAUAUAACUUAAGCCAGACGCUGGACAUUCAUGGACCUCCCUCCUGUCUAGGUGGAAGUGACAAAUGUUGGAACAGUUAUAUAGUGACCAGCAGAAAUGUUACUCAAGCUAAACACUUGACACUAUACUGGCCCCCUCCUGUGGAAGUGACAGUGGUUGUGAUAGUUAUUUAGUGAGUAGCAGAAAUGCAAUUCAAGCCAAACACUGGACCUGUACUGACCUCCCUCCUGUUAAGUUGGAAGUGAAAGUGGUUGUCUAGUGAGCAGCAAAAAUAAAAUUCAAGCCAUACACUGGACCUGAACUGACCUCCCUCCUGUUUAAGUGGAAGUGACUGUUCCUCGGAUAGUUGUCAAGUCAAGAAUCACAAGCCAAGCCGUGUCAGAAAAAAAGGCAAGGCGAGGAGGGAAUAAUCGGGGGCAGUAAUUGUGUAAAACCGUCGAAAAGGCAUGUCAGUAGCUCAGGAUUUUCAUGGCAUAAACGGGGUUUCGGCAGUCUAAAAUCACACACAUUCUUGAUGUCCAAGCAAAAGUAUGGAGGGCAGAUAGUGAAGUAGGUCAUGUUUUUAUCGUAUCUGUGAAACAUAUCUGUGAAAUGUGCCAGUGGCGGCAAAGAAACCAGACCGGCCAGAUUGCACGUGCACAUGACUGUGUCCACAAGUUUACUGGAGUGAGUGUCAGUGGUGAGAAGGGACUCAAGGAGCUUAUUGAAGAGGGCAAGCCUGUUGAGAUUGUAGAGGGUGAUGGAUAUAAUAAUAUAGAAAUUCGCGUGAAAAGGAACAUAAACCUUACUCUACAGAAACAUUUUGAUGAAAAUUAUGUCAAGAACAUUUUCAUAAUGAAGAACUCAGACUGUCAGCCCAGGCGGAGUUCUGCGAAAAUUGACCAUGAAAAUCAUGUUUAUAUUGUGUAUAUAAUAAUAAGUUUAAUGUUAUUAAUCACUAUUCAUUAAUGAAGCUAUUUUCCUUUUAACUGGUAUGAUUUAAUGAUUAAAUAUGCCAUAUGUCUUAAUCUUGAAUUGCUUUAUUUCCCCUGUUACAUGUCGACGUCAUACUCAUUUUUAUCUAUUUUUGAACAUUUGAA